rnacentral:tRNA from 1 species
GUAAGUAUAGUUUAACAAAAACAUUAGAUUGUGAAUCUAACAACAGAAACUAAACUUUCUUACUUACC